rnacentral:rRNA from 1 species
GACGAACGCUGGCGGCGUGCUUAACACAUGCAAGUCGAACGGUGAAGGAAGAGCUUGCUCUUCCGGAUCAGUGGCGAACGGGUGAGUAACGCGUGGGAAUCUGCCUUUAGAUGGGGGAUAACGGGUCGAAAGACUCGCUAAUACCGCAUAUGACGAAAGUUGAAAGGAGUAAUCCGUCUAAAGGAUGAGCCCGCGUCCGAUUAGCUAGUUGGUAGAGUAAAAGCCUACCAAGGCGACGAUCGGUAGCUGGUCUGAGAGGAUGAUCAAGCCACAAUGGACUGAGACACGGCCCAUACUCCUACGGA